AAGUCGGGGGGACCACCCUCCAAGCCUAAAUACUACCUGAUGACCGAUAGAGGAGCAGUACCGUGAGGGAAAGGUGAAAAGAACCCCGGGAGGGGAGUGAAAGAGUACCUGAAACCUUGUGCUUACAAGCAGACAUAGCCCGUUAAAGGGUGGUGUCGUACUUUUUGUAGAACGGUCCGGCGAGUUAUAGUAACUGGCAAGAUUAAGGUAUUGAGUACCGAAGUCGAAGGGAAACCAAGUGUUAAGAGCGCGUUUAAGUCAGUUGCCAUAGACCCGAAACCAGGUGACCUAGCCAUGGUCAGGCUGAAGUGGAGGUAAAGCUCCAUGGAGGGCCGAACGCACGUUCGUUGCAAUGACCGGCGAUGAACUGUGGCUAGCGGUGAAAUUCCAAACGAACUUGGAGAUAGCUGGUUCUCCCCGAAAUAGUUUUAGGACUAGCGUUGGAAAUGAGUUUAACGGUGGUAAAGCACUGAAUGGGCUAGGGGGCGAUAAGCUUACUGAACCCUAUCAAACUAAGAAUGCCGUAUAAAUGCUUUUCAGCAGUCAGACUACGAGUAAUAAAAUCCGUGGUCAAAAGGGAAAUAGCCCAGACCUACAGCUAAGGUCCCGAAUACAUGCUAAGUGGAAAACGAUGUGAGAUUGCAGAAACAACCAGGAUGUUGGCUUAGAGGCAGCCACUCGUUCAAAGAGUGCGUAAUAGCUCACUGGUCGAGUGAUCUUGCGCGGAAAAUUUAACGGGGCUAAGCAUGUAACCGAAGCUUAGGAUUUGCGGGAAACCGCAAGUGGUAGGGGAGCGUCGAAUGCGGGGUGAAGUCGCAUCGGAAGGAGCGGUGGACUGCAUUCGAGUGAGAAUGCCGGAAUGAGUAGCGAGAAUUAUGUGGGAAUCAUAAUGGCCGAAAAUCUAAGGUUUCUUGGGGAAGGUUCGUCCGCCCAAGGUAAGUCGGGAGCUAAGGCGAGGCCGAGAGGCGUAGUCGAUGCACAUACGGUAGAAAUUCCGUAGCCGGUACAAUUGUUAAGCAUAGUGACACAUGAGCGUAGCGCUACCGGGCGUUGGUUGCCCCGGGCGAAAGCGAGUCGAAUGAGACGAAGUGCGUGAAGCUUGUGGCGAGAAAAGCUAUGCGGAUUGGUUGUACUGCCCGUACCGCAAACCGACACAGGUAGAUGAGGAGAAGAUCCUAAGGCCAACGGGAGAAGGGUUGUUAAGGAACUAGGCAAAUUGACCCCGUAACUUCGGAAUAAGGGGUGCCUACGAGAGUAGGUCGCAGAGAAUCGGCCCAAGCAACUGUUUACCAAAAACACAGGUCUCUGCUAAAUCGAAAGAUGACGUAUAGGGGCUGACGCCUGCCCGGUGCUGGAAGGUUAAGAGGAGGACUUAGGGGAAACCCGAAGGUUUGAAUUGAAGCCCCAGUAAACGGCGGCCGUAACUAUAACGGUCCUAAGGUAGCGAAAUUCCUUGUCAGGUAAG
rnacentral:rRNA from 1 species